UACGGGGGGGGCAAGCGUUGUUCGGAAUUACUGGGCGUAAAGGGCUCGUAGGCGGCCAACUAAGUCAGACGUGAAAUCCCUCGGCUUAACCGGGGAACUGCGUCUGAUACUGGAUGGCUUGAGAUUGGGAGAGGGAUGCGGAAUUCCAGGUGUAGCGGUGAAAUGCGUAGAUGUCUGGAGGAACACCGGUGGCGAAGGCGGCAUCCUGGACCGAUACUGACGCUGAGGAGCGAAAGCCAGGGGAGCAAACGGG
rnacentral:rRNA from 1 species